rnacentral:rRNA from 1 species
GUGAACGCUGGCGGCGUGCCUAAUCCAUGCAAGUCGCGCGAACAGACGAGGAGCUUGCUCCUUUGACGUUAGCGGCGGACGGGUGAGUAACACGUGGGUAACCUACCUAUAAGACUGGGAUAACUUCGGGAAACCGGAGCUAAUACCGGAUAAUAUUUCGAACCGCAUGGUUCGAUAGUGAAAGAUGGCUUUGCUAUCACUUAUAGAUGGACCUGCGCCGUAUUAGCUAGUUGGUAAGGUAACGGCUUACCAAGGCAACGAUACGUAGCCGACCUGAGAGGGUGAUCGGCCACACUGGAACUGAGACACGGUCCAGACUCCUACGGGAGGCAGCAGUAGGGAAUCUUCCGCAAUGGGCGAAAGCCUGACGGAGCAACGCCGCGUGAGUGAUGAAGGUCUUCGGAUCGUAAAACUCUGUUAUUAGGGAAGAACAAACGUGUAAGUAACUGUGCACGUCUUGACGGUACCUAAUCAGAAAGCCACGGCUAACUACGUG